AUUGAACGCUGGCGGCAUGCUUUACACAUGCAAGUCGAACGGCAGCGCGGGCUUCGGCCUGGCGGCGAGUGGCGAACUGGUGAGUAAUGCAUCGGAACGUGCCCAGUAGUGGGGGAUAGCCCGGCGAAAGCCGGAUUAAUACCGCAUACGACCUGAGGGUCAAAGCGGGGGACCGAAAGACCUCGCGCUCUUGGACCGGCCGAUGUCGGAUUAGCUAGUUGGUGGGGUAAAGGCUUACCAAGGCGACGAUCCGUAGCUGGUCUGAGAGGACGAGCAGCCACACUGGGACUGAGACACGGCCCAGACUCCUACGGGAGGCAGCAGUGGGGAAUUUUGGACAAUGGGGGCAAGCCUGAUCCAGCCAUGCCGCGUGCGGGAAGAAGGCCUUCGGGUUGUAAACCGCUUUUGUUCGGGAAGAAAUCCUCUGGGCUAAUACCCCGGGGGGAUGACGGUACCGGAAGAAUAAGCACCGGCUAACUACGUG
rnacentral:rRNA from 1 species